UACAGAGGGGGCAAGCGUUGUUCGGAAUUACUGGGCGUAAAGGGCGCGUAGGCGGCCUUCUAAGUCGAACGUGAAAUCCCCGGGCUCAACCCGGGAACUGCGUCCGAUACUGGAAGGCUUGAAUCCGGGAGAGGGAUGCGGAAUUCCAGGUGUAGCGGUGAAAUGCGCAGAUAUCAGGAGGAACACCGAUGGCGAAGGCAGGUCUCUGGGCAUUAACUGACGCUGAGGCGCGAAAGCGUGGGGAGCAAACAGG
rnacentral:rRNA from 1 species